ACCUUUUUGUAGUUCAUAAGCAUGAUGAUUAUGUUUUUACAUUCAUGUAUAAGAUGUGCCUCCCUCAAACCUUGUUAUGAUGUCAGUAUGUCUCAUGUGUGGGG
rnacentral:snoRNA from 1 species